GACGAACGCUGGCGGCGUGCCUAAUACAUGCAAGUCGAACGCAUUUUCUUUCACCGUAGCUUGCUACACCGAAAGAAAAUGAGUGGCGAACGGGUGAGUAACACGUGGGUAACCUGCCCAUCAGCGGGGGAUAACACUUGGAAACAGGUGCUAAUACCGCAUAAUUCCAUUUACUGCAUGGUAGAUGGAUGAAAGGCGCUUUUGCGUCACUGAUGGAUGGACCCGCGGUGCAUUAGCUAGUUGGUGGGGUAACGGCCUACCAAGGCUGCGAUGCAUAGCCGACCUGAGAGGGUGAUCGGCCACACUGGGACUGAGACACGGCCCAGACUCCUACGGGAGGCAGCAGUAGGGAAUCUUCGGCAAUGGACGCAAGUCUGACCGAGCAACGCCGCGUGAGUGAAGAAGGGUUUCGGAUCGUAAAACUCUGUUGUUAGAAAAGAACAAGGAUGAGAGUGGAAAGUUCAUCCCUUGACGGUAUCUAACCAGAAAGCCACGGCUAACUACGUG
rnacentral:rRNA from 1 species